rnacentral:rRNA from 1 species
GAUGAACGCUGGCGGCGUGCCUAAUACAUGCAAGUCGAGCGAACAGACGAGGAGCUUGCUCCUCUGACGUUAGCGGCGGACGGGUGAGUAACACGUGGAUAACCUACCUAUAAGACUGGGAUAACUUCGGGAAACCGGAGCUAAUACCGGAUAAUAUCUUGCACCGCAUGGUUCAAUAGUGAAAUACGGUUUUGCUGUCACUUAUAGAUGGAUCCGCGCCGCAUUAGCUAGUUGGUAAGGUAACGGCUUACCAAGGCGACGAUGCGUAGCCGACCUGAGAGGGUGAUAGGCCACACUGGAACUGAGACACGGUCCAGACUCCUACGGGAGGCAGCAGUAGGGAAUCUUCCGCAAUGGGCGAAAGCCUGACGGAGCAACGCCGCGUGAGUGAUGAAGGUCUUCGGAUCGUAAAACUCUGUUAUUAGGGAAGAACAAAUGUGUAAGUAACUAUGCACGUCUUGACGGUACCUAAUCAGAAAGCCACGGCUAACUACGUG